rnacentral:rRNA from 1 species
AGCAGUCGCCACGGGAACACGGGGGGGGAAAGUGUUAUUCGGAAUGACUGGGCGUAAAGGGCACGUAGGCGGUGAAAAGGGUGGAAAGUGAAAGUCGCCAAAACACUGGCAGGGUGCUUUCUUGACCAUUUCACUUGAGUGAGAUAGGGGAGAGUGGAAUUUCGUGUGGAGGGAUCAAAUCCUAAGAUAUACGAAGGAACGCCAACUGCGAAGGCAGCUCUCUGGGUCCCCACUAAUGUUGGGGUGCGAAAGCAUGGGGAGCAAACAGGAUCAGAUACCCCUGUAGUCCCUGUCUCUUAUACA